UUUUGUAGAGUCCUCGAGAGAAGCACCGAGACGCCAUAAAGGACUCGGGACAAGAUGAUUUCUUCAUACCUGUGGUCAUUCUCAAUAGGAAAAGCCAAGCCUGGCUCAUGAGACUGUGACUUCAGAGGGAAGCUUUUCAUUUUUGAAAGCUAGGUGUUCUGAAGGCGCUGUUUUGUUAGAGAUAGACAACAGAGUGGUCGGCUGUGUUCCUACGUGCUCAACUUCUGCAUUCGAGCAACUGACCAAUUUUUUCACCAAGGACAGUAAUUGACAUGACAAGGGAAGGAGAACCGGCUAGUGAACCACCUGCGCCGAUUUCUGGUGAGGAACCUUUUUGACAUUGUUCUGCUUGGCUUCGCGCUUCCUGGCGCAGAAGAAAGAGAUGAUUCGGCACUUCCGGGAACCAAGGACGUAAAAGAAGUGCUGGUGCUCACAUAUAUAGAAAGAACAGAAGAACGAAAAACCUUAGGAAGAAAAACUGUGUGGUUUGCGAGAUUUCUAGGGUAAACACAGACGGGCCAUAAGCCGUAUAGGUCACACUUGCAUUUUGUUGUGGCCAAGAAAAGGAGGCACCUCGUUCACACCAGUUUAAAACGCUCACGUGAAACGAAAGCUGUCUUUUUGUUUGUUGUUUCCGAAAGAAAUGAUAACAGAUUACUCAUCUUUGAGUGUUUCAGGAAAAAAAAAAACAAAUCGAAGAUUGCUGCUGCAUUGUAGCAUCGAGUGCAUAUUUCCGUUUUUUUCUUCGAACGAAUGGAAACAUUGACAUAAGAAAUCUGCAAAGGAAGAGAUGCCGACUAGACGUCUUCUCUGAGUAACUUGUGCCGAUAACGCGCUUGAGUGAUUGCUUAGGGCAAGUGUGUGACGCACCUCGACUGUACGUGCCGAACUCAGCGCCCGACCCGUUCGCUGCACGCAGCUUCCGUGUGAACGCGGGCUCGGCCUUCAAGACAGAGCAAUCCCUGUUGUGGCUUGUGAGCGAAGAACCGAAGCACGUACCUUACAGGAGGCGUAGGAACUCAAAGGUGAACGUUGCACAGCCUGCUGUUCAAGGCAGUGGUGCCAAUGCAUAAUCAUUUCGAUUAAAUACAGAGUUGAAUCGUAGAUCAACAGACGUCGGCGAGACAACGGUGCCAGAAUAUGACCGAGAUGGACGUCACAACUGUUAUCGGAGAUUACGGCAAGUUCCAGAGGAACGUCUACCUCUUCUGUCUUCUCAGAGGAAUUCCCAACGGUCUGCACCUGGUCAUCUACAGCUUUUUCCUGCCGGCGGUUGAUUACUGGUGCGCGAGGCCAGAUAGCCUGGCCGCGAACGUGACGUCAGAACAGUGGAAAUCGCUGGUGCUGUCGAACUCGACCUCUGACGCAUAUUCGUCGUCACUUCGCGGUGGUCGUUGCCGGAUGUUUGACUUCGAGUUCUCCGGCAACGGCACUCCAGUGUUCGGUAAUGGGACGGUACGCUGCAACCAAUGGGAGUACGGUCGGAGCUACUACCGAAGUUCUCUGGUGCAAGAGUGGGACCUGGUGUGUGAUCGAGCAUGGACGCGAAGCCUGGUGCAGACGGCUACGAUGAGCGGAAUGCUCAUCGGCACGCUGGUGUCGUCACUGGGAGACAGGCUCGGACGACGACCCAUGGUAGUCGCUGGCUACGUGACCAGCUUCAUUGGCAGCGUCUGCGUCGCUAUGUCUCCGUGGUUCUCUCUUCUGCUGCUCUCCAGAGGCCUUCUGGGCCUCGGCUUGGGACUGGGACAGACCGCGUGCUUCUGCCUUCUGAUGGAGGUGAUCGGUCCGCAGAAGCGGACGACGACGGCUGUGGCUUUCAGCGUCGGCUUCGCCAUCGGCAUCAUCAUGCUUCCGGGCUUCGCGUGGCUGCUGCAAGACUGGAGGUCCCUGCAGGGCGCCAUCAGCGUGCCCCUCCUGGUCUUCGUGGUUUGGUCAUGGUACUUGCCGGAGUCACCGCGCUGGUUGAUAGCCACGGGGAAAAUGACUGCGGCCCGAAAGGUCGUACUAAAGGCCUGCGCUGACAACGGACUGCCAAUCGACGACAUCGACUCGGUGCUUGGACAACUAAGGAAAAAAAUCUUGCAGCAAGAGCAAGCGGCGAAGAAGGCCAGCUGCUUGGACCUUGUGAGGAGUCGGAGGGUCUUCCUCUACACCUGCAUUCUGGUCUACGCUGCUGCGGCGAGCGGCAUGAUCUUCUACGGCCUGCAGCUGUCGGUGACCAACCUGGGCGGUGACCCGUACCUGACGUUCGUGCUCGCGGCGGUGGCCGAGUUCCCCGUGUGCGUCAUCUGCUACGUGGCCAUCCGGUGGUGCCGCCGGCGUUGGACCAUGCUCGCCGUGUACGGCAUCGCUGGCGUAUGCGCGAUCGGCGUGGCCGUAUUGCCGCCAGCGUGGGUGGUGCCUCGUCAGAUGUGCGCCAUCGGUGGGAAGAUGCUGGCCUCCGCCUCGCUGACGCUGGUGUGGAUCUUCGCGGCCGAAGUGUUCCCGACAUUGUACCGGACGGUCGGAGUCAGCGCCUGCCUGGUCGGCACCCGCGUCGGCUCUUCGACGGCCCCGUUUCUGUUGGAACUGAGAACCUACCUGUCUGACUCGAUCCCCAUGAUCACUCUGGCAACCGCUGCCGUGCUCGCCUCCUCACUGAUGCUCUUGUUGCCGGAGACACUACGGGUUACGCUACCAGACACGAUACGCGAGUCCAAGCAGCUGGGGAAUUCGAGGAAAGCUGGCAAAGACGUCCCCUUUAAAGAUAUUGCGAUCGACUCGAAACUUCAACUUGCGGGGUGUCAACCAACCGCGAUGGACAAUGACAUCAACCACUGAACUAGCUCAUAUCAUCUAUCGCUAUAGGACUUCGCCUUGAGAAUGCCAGCAAUGGCGAUAACCACGAUUCCCUGGUUCGACUGCCCCCUUGAGGCCUCCACAUUCAACUGAAGGUUGAAUGCGAAAUGGCGAAUUUUAAAGAAGACGUUACGUGGCCAAAUGUGCCAUACAGAACGAACCAUGACUCCCUUGAUAGCUGAGUUGUCUAUUCGGACUAUAUAGGGCAUUUUAUUGUAAAAUUAACAGAAUUAGAAAAAAGAAAUCUUAGCGAGUGGCACAAUUGAUCUUCUUCAGUGGAUUACUCGAAGAGAGAGACAUCAGUUGCACGAGAAAUCGGAAGACAGUACCGAGAAAUUGACAAAAAUCUUACUAAUAACUUUUUUAGAAAAUGACUGUACAUAUUGCAAUUUACGAAUUGGACUCGGUGAGUUCGCAAAGUAUGCAUAUAUGUUCCUAUUUCUGAUGUGGAAGUCUGAUCAUGAGGGCAGGUUAACAGUUAUCAUGUUAUCAGUUUGUCAUCGUGCCAGUACAAAUGGAGUUCUACUAUUAACUAUUGGCUUAAUAAAUUCUAUGUUUGCGUUUGAACAACACUUCCUUGUGCCAUAAUCUUGUUUCAUGUAGCAGCUGGCCUAGUGAACUUUCCCUGUUUGCUGACUAUCUCUCGCUGUAUAUAUAUAUAUAUAUA